rnacentral:rRNA from 1 species
UUAAGCAUAUCAAUAAGCGGAGGAAAAGAAACCAACAGGGAUUGCCCUAGUAACGGCGAGUGAAGCGGCAAAAGCUCAAAUUUGAAAUCUGGCUUCGGCCCGAGUUGUAAUUUGUAGAGGAUGUUUCGGGCACCGCCCCGGCGUAAGUCCCUUGGAACAGGGCGUCAUAGAGGGUGAGAAUCCCGUCUGGCGUCGUGGUAGGGCCCAUGUGAAACUCCUUCGACGAGUCGAGUUGUUUGGGAAUGCAGCUCAAAAUGGGUGGUAAAUUUCAUCUAAAGCUAAAUACUGGCCAGAGACCGAUAGCGCACAAGUAGAGUGAUCGAAAGAUGAAAAGCACUUUGAAAAGAGAGUUAAACAGUAUGUGAAAUUGUUGAAAGGGAAGCGCUUACAACCAGACUUGAGCCCGUCGGUUCCCCCUCGCUUCUGCGUGGGCUACUCCGGCGGGUCCAGGCCAACAUCGGUUCGGGUGGCUGGUCAAAGGCCCCGGGAAUGUACCUCACCUUCGGGUUAGGCUUAUAGCCCGGGGUGUCAUGCGGCCUACCUGGACCGAGGAACGCGCUUCGGCUCGGAUGUUGGCGUAAUGGUUGUCAGCGACCCGUCUUGAAACACGGACCAAGGAGUCGAAGAGCUAUGCGAGUGUUUGGGUGUCAAACCCGUACGCGUAAUGAAAGUGAACGGAGGUAGGAAGCUUCGGCUGCACUAUCGACCGAUCCUGAUGUUCUCGGAUGGAUUUGAGUAAGAGCAUAACUCUCCGGACCCGAAAGAUGGUGAACUAUGCCUGAAUAGGGUGAAGCCAGAGGAAACUCUGGUGGAGGCUCGCAGCGGUUCUGACGUGCAAAUCGAUCGUCAAAUUUGGGUAUAGGGGCGAAAGACUAAUCGAACCAUCUGGUAGCUGGUUCCUGCCGAAGUUUCCCUCAGGAUAGCAGUAACGUUUUCAGUUUUAUGAGGUAAAGCGAAUGAUUAGAGGCCUUGGGGUUGAAACAACCUUAACCUAUUCUCAAACUUUAAAUAUGUAAGAAGUCCUUGUUACUUAGUUGAACGUGGACAUUUGAAUGUAUCGUUACUAGUGGGCCAUUUUUGGUAAGCAGAACUGGCGAUGCGGGAUGAACCGAACGUGAGGUUAAGGUGCCGGACUGCACGCUCAUCAGACACCACAAAAGGUGUCAAUGCAUCUAGACAGCCGGACGGUGGCCAUGGAAGUCGGAAUCCGCUUAGGAGUGUGUAACAACUCACCGGCCGAAUGCAUUGGCCCUGAAAAUGGAUGGCGCUUAAGCGUGCGACCUAUACCUCGCCGUCAGGGUUGACAUGAUGCCCUGACGAGUAGGCAGGCGUGGAGGUUUGUGACGAAGCCUUGGGGGUGAC